GCGCCUGUGGUGAAAUGGAUAUCACACGUGACUUCGGAUCACGCGUUCCGGGUUCGAGUCCUGGCAGGCGCA
rnacentral:tRNA from 1 species